AACGAACGCUGGCGGCAUGCCUAACACAUGCCAGUCGAACGAGACCUUCGGGUCUAUUGGCGCACGGGUGCGUAACGCGUGGGAACCUGCCCUUAGGGUCGGAAUAACUCCCCGAAAGGGGUGCUAAUACCGGAUAAUGUCUUCGGACCAAAGAUUUAUCGCCUUUGGAUGGGCCCGCGUUGGAUUAGCUAGUUGGUAGGGUAAAAGCCUACCAAGGCGACGAUCCAUAGCUGGUCUGAGAGGAUGAUCAGCCACACUGGGACUGAGACACGGCCCAGAAUCCUACGGGAGGCAGCAGAGGGGAAUAGUGGACAAUGGGGGAAAGCCUGAUCCAGCAAUGCCGCGUGAGUGAUGAAGGCAUUAGGGUUGUAAAGCUCUUUUAACCGGGAUGAUAAUGACAGUACCGGGAGAAUAAGCCCCGGCUAACUACGUG
rnacentral:rRNA from 1 species